GACUCUCGGCAACGGAUAUCUCAGCUCUCGCAUCGAUGAAGAAUGUAGCGAAAUGCGAUACUUGGUGUGAAUUGCAGAAUCCCAUGAACCAUCGAGUCUUUGAACGCAAGUUACGCCCGAAGCCGUCAGGCCGAGGGCACGCCUGCCUGGGCGUCACAC
rnacentral:rRNA from 1 species